GGCCUUUUAUUCAAUAUUUAUGAUAUUAAAUUGCAAAUUUAAAGGAGAAAUUUUUAUUUCUAAGGCUU
rnacentral:tRNA from 1 species